GGUGAUAGUGGCCAGGGGGCGCUCAGCACCACUCGGUGUCAGCCCCGUUUGACAGACCGGGAGGCUGAGGCCCAGGGAAAGGGAGCGACUCUUCCACGGUGUGGCAAACAGCGAAAGGAGUGGAAGGAAGUGAAGUGAGUCCUCUGCAGAGGCCCGACCGCCGGCAGCGCCCCCCCACCCUCCAGCGUCUCCUCGGGCGGCGGUGUGGACGCGCACAGGCCCCCGAGCCCGGACCUUCUCUCCGACGCGCGGCCUGCGCCCGCGGGGCCUCCCCCUGCGCGCGGGAGCGACCCCGCCGCCCCCGCGCCUCCAGCCUGCGCGGCCCUGAACCUGACAUCGCUCAGCGCGCGGUUUCGGAUCCUCUUUCGCUUCUGCCGGGUCGGCUGGGAUUUGCAUGAAAUUGCAUUUCGAAAGGGGAUGCGGAUUUCCGCGCGGGAGGGUCUUGCGAAAGCUGCGAGGGGAGCGGGGUGUCCGAGGGCCGGGGAAGCUUCCUUGAGAGCCCCCACUCCUACCCCUGCCGCCCGACACCGUGCCCUAGAAAAGUCGGGGUAACGGUUACCGCGGGGUGGGGCGUUGGGGAGACACGGGGAGAGCCCGGUGGGGCGGCUGGCAGAGGUCCUCCUGGGCUCAGUGGGGCGCACCUUGCAGUGAGGAGUUAAGCCGUACGUUGGAGCACACGGAUUUUUCCGUGUCUGUAUUUUCUUUUACAAUAAAGCUAUUUUUUUAUUUUA